rnacentral:rRNA from 1 species
AGUGAACGCUGGCGGUAGGCCUAACACAUGCAAGUCGAACGGCAGCACAGUAAGAGCUUGCUCUUACGGGUGGCGAGUGGCGGACGGGUGAGGAAUACAUCGGAAUCUACUUUUUCGUGGGGGAUAACGUAGGGAAACUUACGCUAAUACCGCAUACGACCUACGGGUGAAAGCAGGGGAUCUUCGGACCUUGCGCGAUUGAAUGAGCCGAUGUCGGAUUAGCUAGUUGGCGGGGUAAAGGCCCACCAUGGCGACGAUCCGUAGCUGGUCUGAGAGGAUGAUCAGCCACACUGGAACUGAGACACGGUCCAGACUCCUACGGGAGGCAGCAGUGGGGAAUAUUGGACAAUGGGCGCAAGCCUGAUCCAGCCAUACCGCGUGGGUGAAGAAGGCCUUCGGGUUGUAAAGCCCUUUUGUUGGGAAAGAAAAGCAGCAGGUUAAUACCCCGCUGUUCUGACGGUACCCAAAGAAUAAGUACCGGCUAACUUCGUG